GAACCAUAGAACUAGAACACUAACGGGAACGCCCACUCGGUGACGUAUAACGGUGAUGACAUAAUUAUGUUGUACAUCGCAUGCGCGAAGUCAAUAAGGCACAAGUAACUUCCGGCCGUAUGUCAACAUGGCAGAAGCGUACGACGUCCUGGAAUUUCAAGAACUUGACGGUGUAAUAGAUCUUUUCUUUGCUAAAGAUUUGUUUGAGACAUCUCAACCUGUCGUUCCAGUAGCAUCCGCGGAACAUCCGAACAAAACACAAUUCGCGCCAGGCAUUUUGUUAGUGCGAGCAGAAACCGGAAGUAAGCUGUGCCCGAUAUCAGCGUCAGAGGCCCGCCGUCACAUAAGGUAGUGACGUCACACGGUGGGCGUUCCCGUUAGUAUUCUAGU